rnacentral:lncRNA from 1 species
GGGUCAAGAACUUUUAUUUGAUUUCAAAACCUGUCCCCAUCUUGGACUUCCUAGGUUCUCUUGUAGCUUGAACAGCAGCUGUACCUAGCUCCUUUCUUCUAUCUCUGGUCUUUUUGGUGCCCACCCAUCAGCCCGAGUUUGACAGAUCAAUUCGAUUGGUCCUUCCAAUCUGUAGGAGCAAGGACUGGACACAGGUGGCGAGUUCCUCAACGGCCAGUGUUCAAGCCCAGUUCAUCACUCAUUAGUUUUGCUUGCUCUUGGCUCUGGAGGCUUUGGAGUCCAGCAUCCUCUGGGCGUGACUGAGUUGCUUUAUCGAAUCAAGCACAAGGAUUCCGGGCAGCACCAGCCACAGAGCAUUCAUGAAGACAAAGUAAAACCAGAAGUAGAUUGGGUGGCCCAGCUCCCCGUGCUGGAAUCCGUCACGGUGCUCUGUCAGGAAAUAGAGCACAUCCCCGUAUAUCUGACCUGCGGGAGGCGGAAGGGGAAGAGGGAGACCGUGUGAGGAAGAGGAACGCUUCCAAGCCAUUUGUCAAGGCAUCAGAGCUCAGGAUUCCCAAAUUCAGAGAGCUGAGAGGUUAAAAUCAUACUGCUGAAAAGUUGAGAGAUCAGAAAAGUGAGAAUUCCAGAAAUCAGAAGCAAAGACUUUCUGAACUCAGGAAAGUUCUCUUGUGGUGCCGCGGGUUAAGGAUGCAGCUUCGUCACCGCAGCAGUCCAGGUCGCUACUGUGGUGCGGGUUUGAUCCCUGGCCCGAGAACAUCCACAUGCUGUGGGCGUGGCCAAAACAAAACCACCCCCCCCAAACCUUUAAUUCAAGAUAGCUCAGGAGUUCCCAUCGUGGUGCAGGGGUUAAUGGAUCUGACUAGGAACCAUGAGGUUGUGGGUUUCAUCCCUGGCCUCGCUCAGUGGGUUAAGGAUCUGGCAUCACUGUGAGCUGUGGUGUAGGUUGCAGACGUGGCUCAGAUCCUGCGUGGCUGUGGCACAGGCUGGCAGCUGCAGCUCCGAUUCAAUCCCUAGCCUGGGAACUUCCAUUUACCACGGUGCGGACAUAAAAAGUUUAAAAAAAAAAAUGGGGAGAAAAAAAAGACAGCUCAGGAUUUCAGGACCAAAGAGAACUCAUGGAAUUCCCGUCGCGGCUCAGUGGUUAACAAAUCUGACUAGAAACCAUGAGGCUGUGGGUUUGAUCCCUGGCCUCGCUCAGUGGGUGAAGGAUCCGGCGUUGCUGUGAGCUGUGGUGUAGAUCGCAGACGUGGCUUGGGUCCAUUGUUGCUGUGGCUCUGGUGUAGGCCGGCAGCUGCAGCUCUGAUUAGACUCCUAGCCUGGGAACCUCCCUGUGCCGCAGGUGCAGCCCUAAAAUGACAAAAAAUAAAGAAAGAGAGAACUCACAUUUUCGGAAAGCUAAUGAUAUAAGGAGAUAAGAGGACUCAAUGCCAGAGGAAGGAAUCUCAGAAUUCUGUUCAAGGGGAAUCCGGGGGCUUCUCAUCACCACGGGCCUCUUCACCGCAUAUGACCCUCACAGGGGCCUCUGUGACCAGGUGGGAGGAGAAAUGAGAACACUGGCCAAGAGGGGGUGUGACCAUUCCAGAACCUCAGCGAAGUUGGGCACUCAGUCUAACUCAGCCCUGGAUGGGCGCAACAGAGAUGUCCCACAGGCAGGGACGCCCCCAAGGCUGUGGGUCCCCCAUCAAGCCCUCUAGCACCCCACAUGGGCCCUCUCCUCACCCACAGAGACCACCAGCUGGAGGACAAAGCGGUGGGGCUGCUGGCGGAGAAAGGCGAUCACCACCC